rnacentral:rRNA from 1 species
AUACGUAGGGGGCGAGCGUUGUCCGGAAUGAUUGGGCGUAAAGGGCGCGUAGGCGGCCCGGUAAGUCUGGAGUGAAAGUCCUGUUUUUAAGAUGGGAAUUGCUUUGGAUACUGCCGCGCUUGAGUGCAGGAGAGGUUAUCGGAAUUCCCGGUGUAGCGGUGAAAUGCGUAGAGAUCGGGAGGAACACCAGUGGCGAAGGCGGGUAACUGGACUGCAACUGACGCUGAGGCGCGAAAGUGUGGGGAGCAAACAGGAUUAGAUACCCUGGUAGUCCACACUGUAAACGAUGAAUGCUAGGUGUAAGAGGUAUCGACCCCUUUUGUGCCGGAGUCAACACAAUAAGCAUUCCGCCUGGGGGGUACGGCCGCAAGGUUGAAACUCAAAUGAAUUGACGGGG